rnacentral:sRNA from 1 species
UCGAUCGGGGGUUUGUCGGCCUCCGGGCGCAGGUCGCUGUCAUUCUCGA